UAGUUACAAGUUUUCUUUUGUGAUGAGAACUUUUAAGAGUACUUUCAAAUAUGCAACACAGUAUUAACAGUAUUAUUAUAUUACAGUAUUAUAGUCACCAUGUGAUACAUUAUAUCCCCUUAUUUGUUUUAUAACUGGAAGUUUGUACCUUUUGACUCCCUUCACCCAGUUCACAUUGCCCCCACCCCACCUCUGGCAACCACCAAUCUGCCCUCUGUAUCUAUGAACAUCCCCGACUCCAGGUCCAUUUUCAGGUUUUAUUUGAAAUGAGAAGUCACUCGUGGUCAAAUUCUGCCUCACAACCUCAUCUGAAUAAAAAAGAUGUGCACUACUCUAUUACUGAACCACAAGAAACCCUCAAGUUAUUUAAAAACAUAACUUUCAAUGACCAUACUCUCAGACCAUGAUGCAAUAGUGAUUAGAAAUUAGCACUCAGUUCUAAAAACGAAGACAUCAGGGUCCUCCCACCACCCUAAAUGAGGUUUGGGCUACAUUCUCUGAGGCUGUUUCCUCCACCUGUCCCGGCUGAUGCUCUAGUUUCCUGACAGGAUUGAUCUGGUCUUACUCAUUCUUGCAUCAGAAAGAUUAUUCAAGCAUCAAGUAUCAUUGCUUUCUACUCCUCAUUGUUGAGUGUGUCUUAAGCUAGAAUAACCUGUUUGACACGAUUCUUGAGCUACACAGCAUGUUACAUGUUUCAGGAGCUCUCGGAAGACUGAUUUCCCAGAUCCAGAAAAAUGCAGUCCAUCUGCUGUUCCCUUGGGCUUUUAGAUUUUUUUCAAUUCCCUCAGAACUGCAUGGAGAUGUGUUCUGAAUAAAAGCCAUCCCUGUGUUUUCAUGCUCCAUCCCACCUGCCUGCUUGUGUUGGACUGAGUUUAAUACAACUCAGCACCAGUGAAAUAUGCACCGUCAUUUCCUGCACCUAUUGUUUUGCAUCAUGUGCCUCCAGUAUUCUCAGGGCUUGAGACCCACCUGGGGGAGCAUGAUGUCACCACAUUGAUGAGCCAAGAGACCUGACUGGAGUUGUGGAGCAAUUGUCUUGAAGUUCCUAGAGGGAGUGGACAUGGCCCAGAGCACUGCCUGAUACCUGGUGCAGAGCCUGUGGAGGGAAUGAUUGCCCUGGAUGCUAUACAAGCCCCAGCUGGAGACUUGAAGACCAGGGCCUGGGUCACCUGAAGGCUCCUUUACUCACAUGGAUGGACGUUGAUGCUGGUUGUAGCCCGGGCCUCUCCAUGUGGUUGCUUUGGGCUUCCUCACAGCAUAAUGGCUGGGUUCCAAGGCCAAGGACUCUGAGAGAGAGGCAGGUAGAAGUGGUACCUUUGAUGACCAGUUUUGGAAGUUACAUAGUGUCACUUCCCCUAUACCCUAUUCAUUGAGUCAGUCACAAAGUCCUGCCCAGGUUCAGAAAGAGAAGAAAAAGGUUCUGCUUCUUGAUGGGGAGUGACAAGGUUCUGGAAAGGCACAUGGGGCCAGAAAUAUUGCUGCGACCAUUAUUGGAAAUUAUGUUGUUGCUGUUCAGUUGCUCCAUGGACUGCAGCAUGCCAGGUUCCCUUAUCCUUCACUCUCUCUCAGAGUUGACUCAAACUCAUGUCCAUUGAGUCAGUGAUGCCAUCCAACCAUCACAUCC